rnacentral:tRNA from 1 species
GCCCUCGUAGCUCAGGGGAUAGAGCGUUGGAUUCCGGUUCCAAAGGUCGCAAGUUCAAUUCUUGUCGAGGGCG